AAUCCGCAACAGACAGAACAGUACUUCACUCUUAUUGCCCAACAAUCAAGACAGUCUCGCUUUCAGGCUCAGGUGGCCAUGAGGGGAGGUGGGAAAUCAGAACUGAAAAGUCUUGUGAAAUGUUAAGGCAGGGAUGGAGCUUUGACUGGUCCCAAUGACAAACUGAGAUAUGCACGUUCACUAUUUCAGGGACUUGGGAAUGCCGACAGUCGUUGUUAACUGGUCAGUUUGUGACUACUUUAAUUUUAAUUCAUUAAAAUUAUAUAACUAAUCUGCAUGUACUAAUUUGCACCACCAUCAACGGAUUGGCAGUGUCAUG
rnacentral:lncRNA from 1 species